GGAGCUUGCUCCGCUGACGAGUGGCGAACGGGUGAGUAAUAUAUCGGAACGUACCAUUCAGUGGGGGAUAACGUAGCGAAAGUUACGCUAAUACCGCAUAUUCUGUGAGCAGGGAAGCAGGGGAUCGCAAGACCUUGCGCUGAUUGAGCGGCCGAUAUCAGAUUAGCUUGUUGGUGAGGUAAAAGCUCACCAAGGCGACGAUCUGUAGCGGGUCUGAGAGGAUGAUCCGCCACACUGGAACUGAGACACGGUCCAGACUCCUACGGGAGGCAGCAGUGGGGAAUUUUGGACAAUGGGGGCAACCCUGAUCCAGCCAUGCCGCGUGAGUGAAGAAGGCCUUCGGGUUGUAAAGCUCUUUCAGCCGGGAAGAAAACGCAUGGGUUAAUACCCUGUGUGGAUGACGGUACCGGAAUAAGAAGCACCGGCUAACUACGUGCCAGCAGCCGCGGUAAUACGUAGGGUGCGAUCGUUAAUCGGAAUUACUGGGCGUAAAGCGUGCGCAGGCGGUUUUGUAAGACAGGCGUGAAAUCCCCGGGCUUAACCUGGGAACUGCGUUUGUGACUGCAAGGCUAGAGUACGGCAGAGGGGGGUGGAAUUCCACGUGUAGCAGUGAAAUGCGUAGAGAUGUGGAGGAACACCAAUGGCGAAGGCAGCCCCCUGGGUCGAUACUGACGCUCAUGCACGAAAGCGUGGGUAGCAAACAGGAUUAGAUACCCUGGUAGUCCACGCCCUAAACGAUGUCAACUAGGUGUUGGGAGGGUAAAACCUUUUAGUACCGGAGCUAACGCGUGAAGUUGACCGCCUGGGGAGUACGGCCGCAAGGUUAAAACUCAAAGGAAUUGACGGGGACCCGCACAAGCGGUGGAUGAUGUGGAUUAAUUCGAUGCAACGCGAAAAACCUUACCUACCCUUGACAUGCCAAGAACUUUCCAGAGAUGGAUUGGUGCCCGAAAGGGAACUUGGACACAGGUGCUGCAUGGCUGUCGUCAGCUCGUGUCGUGAGAUGUUGGGUUAAGUCCCGCAACGAGCGCAACCCUUGUCGUUAAUUGCCAUCAUUUAGUUGGGCACUUUAACGAGACUGCCGGUGACAAACCGGAGGAAGGUGGGGAUGACGUCAAGUCCUCAUGGCCCUUAUGGGUAGGGCUUCACACGUCAUACAAUGGUCGGUACAAAGGGUCGCCAAGCCGCGAGGUGGAGCCAAUCCCAGAAAGCCGAUCGUAGUCCGGAUCGCAGUCUGCAACUCGACUGCGUGAAGUCGGAAUCGCUAGUAAUCGUGGAUCAGAAUGUCACGGUGAAUACGUUCCCGGGUCUUGUACACACCGCCCGUCACUGC
rnacentral:rRNA from 1 species